ensembl:lncRNA
AGCUUCUGCUAUUUCAGCUACAGUAUGCGUAGACUGCCAAAGCCAGGAUAUUACAAAUCAGAGAGGUUUAAAACAAGCGACUGGGGGGCUAAAUCCCUCUUUUAGACACACAGUCGACACUCCCUUCACGGGAGGGCGGUGGUUUUUAAUCAUGCCUUAAAAAUUCCUUAAAAGCAGGGGGUCUCCCCUCCGCGAGGGGCGGUCGGCAGAGUGCGUGCCUUAUGAAUAAACCGGCUAUUAGGCUGAUGCUUCAAGUAACAUUAUCCAGCACCAAGUGGCUUGAAUUUGGAGCUCAGAAAAUGAGAAGCACUUCACUAGAGGCCUUCAGUUCGAUACAAGAAACUCGCUACUCUGUAAAUCCCUGAUAAAGACAGAAAUAGAAGUGCUGUGAUCACCACAUCCAGUUCUAACUUGUUACUGGACCACAGUCGAAGAAUGGAACAGUUUUGUUCCCUAGCUGAAUGGCAUGGGAGAAUUCCCAGAAGGUUACUUAUUUUGCUAAUCUCUGCUUAGAAGGUUCUGGUGGCUUCAUUGCUAGCAAAGGCUUAGCCUUGAACAACUGAGAUUUUGGGUAAAUCCCUGAUGCUGAAAACAUGCAGGGGAGAUCUUGUGCUGUUUUUAAGAAAACAGAAACAGAAAACUAACUUUCAUUUUAUAUGCAGCAUGUCCGUGUGGGAUGGACACAGAUCAUACAAAAAUGAGUUAGGAAAGGCUUUUUGGCUGAUAACAACCAUUAUAAUUUUCCUACUGUUGCCAGCUUUGAGUCUGUUUGCCCCCAAACUUUGUGCUGCAUCCAAAGACCUAAAAUUUGGAGUCUGCAGGCCUCGGAGAUGGAGAGAAGUUGAGCAUAAAGAGAGAAGAGAGCCUGCUGAGUAUUUUCAAGACUGAGAUUUGGAAAUAAGUUUCUCUCCUCCACUUACGAAGAAUCUAAAACAGGACCUUAUCAACCAUGGCACAUCCAUAUUUAGAUUUUCUUUACCUAUAUACUUUUUUCCCCCCUUUAUUUUUGUAUGGACAAGUUUUAAAAUAAAUGCAUAUAUGAAAUAAAUUCCACAUCUUAAGUCUUGCAAAUAAGGGAUGUUGUAGGAGUGGUAUGCUUCCUACAUGUUUUCCUAUCGAUGAGAGGGACAGUGGACAUAUAUCACAGGCUUUAUUUUGGUAAGAUGAAUGUUUUCAAGUCAGCAUUAAACCUGAAUACUGAAGUACCAAAAUGCUGUCUUGUCCACUGCUGCCCUCCUAUAGGUCCAUCAGUUUUAACUCUUGGUAAUUCCCAUCCAUUUUAGACUUCUUUCCAUCUUCCACUUCCUCGAUCUCUUCUCAGUAGCACUUUGCCACUGGAGCUACAGAAUAUCUAUCUGGUGUUUCAUGACACCCCCAUAAGUGUGGAGGGGAGAAUGAAAAUGUAGCUAUUCCCAGAUUAUAAUUUUAUGUUGCAAACAGUAAAGUUAAGCAACUGAAAAAGAAGUACAGACUUUUAAUUGUUGAUUUUCAAUUAGAACUCCUUCCCUUCCCCAUGCAAUUAUAUCAAAUCCAUGCUGUGCUUUAGAAAAAUGGGGUGAGGUAGCUCUUCUUACAGCUCACAGUGGAAAUUUUACCAUUCCAGUGAUGCAAAAGGGUUUGUCUGGAGCCCAGAAUAGUGCAGCAUCAUCAUCCUUACACCUCCCCUGUCUUCAACAGCUAAUGGCUCAGUUUCUGCAGAAAUAAUAAUAAUAAUAACGCAAUGGCUAAUCCUGUGUAAGAGUCCCAGUACAGGUGUGACUUUAAAUUUCUUGAAAGCCUUGGAAGGCUCCAGAGGAACAAGUCAAAUGCCUCUGCAUAUGAAUGAAAAGAAAUGUGCAGUUUAGACCUUGAGUAGCUCAGAGUAGUCAAAGUUAAGUAAAUUAAUGUUAUUCAAAGAAAAAAAAUUUUUACAAUAAACCAUUAUAAAAAAAGAAUCUGCAUUUAUUAUGAGAGUAAAGCAGAGGAUAUGGGAAGUCAGGAAUGGAAAUGGAGAAACAGGAUCACUUAUAUUUCCCUCUUUUUAAAAGCAGAAAUGUCAUAUUUUAGCUAAAAGUCCAUACUUUUCUAGCCCAGCUGUUGUGCUUCACAUGAAACUGAGAAAUACUAUAUAAAGCACUUGCUGUUAUGAUAGAAUUUCUCUCUUGCUUUACUGCAGUUCCCUUCUGAACCAGGCUCUAGUUCUGCAUUUCAUGUAAAAUAAAAGGAGCUAGGUGCUUCAGAACUGCCAAGACUGAAUUAGGAGGGCAGCAUCACCAUUUUUCUUUAAUGGUAGUCAUUGGUGUUUCACAUACAGUUACCAUCCAUUAAAGUUUUAAAUUUCACUUAAGAUCCUUCAAAUCCUUUUCACCUUUUUUUUCCAAAUAGCUAUUUGAUGUUUUACUUGUUUAAAAUGGUAGGAAAAAAAUCAGAAAUAGCUAAUUAUUAAAAAUGGCGAUACUGAACAUGACUCUUCGACUGACACCAAACUGUUUUCCACAGAGUAUUUUUCUAUUUCAAGAGAACUUUUCUGUAAUAUAAAAACAUAUUUGUGAAAUCUUCAAUAACAUGAUGGGAUUUUUCAUGUAUAAAGUUGUGCAUGGUGUUAACUGAAAGAGCUUAGUUUAAGAAUGUAGAUGCUUCCUGGCAGAGACUCUGUUACCUCCAGGACCAACAAUUUCUCAUUACUCAAGCUCAAAGACCUUUCCUUCUUUUGUGUAGGAUAUGAUUCAAGGAGUGCCCCACACAAAUUUCUCUUGGGGACAGUGCUGAGGUGAGUAUCAGACAGGGAGAGAGUUGUUUUCUGUUUAUUAGAUAUUCAAGAUAUGGAUGUGCCUCUACAAGUUUUCUCCAAAGGCAGCUUUUCACUCAUAAUGGCUUAAAAAGUCUGGGUCCUGUCAUCUGUGCAAACCAAAAGCCUUAACUGCUCAGAAGGUCAUGUAUUUCUGAUAAAUACAUAAAUAAUUUUUGUUCAUCAUUAUUUUAGAACAAGAAGAGUUCAGGAGCUUGAACAGCAGAAUUACAGAAUUGGAAAGUUAUGUAGACAUCAUUAAAUUCAGAAUUCUAUGGCCACAUUAAAUAGCAGAAGCUGUGAACUGACACUCUUCAUUGCAGAAUCCAUAUGGGGCCAUUCACCUAGAGUGUCUUCCCUCAAGGAAGCAGCUCUAAUCUUCACUAUGUCAAGACUUCUUGGACACAUGAAAUUAUAAAGGAAUCUCAUUGGCAAGUGAAAUAUGGCAACAAGGAAUCAUAUCCAGUAUUGUUGCACCUGCUAAAAGCCUACAUGAAGUGACUGCAAACAUGCCAGCAUUGGCACUGGUGAGUCUUGGUGUGCUGUGUGUUCCUUGGACACUGGUGAGUGGAUAGGACUCAAUAUGAGUAGGGCUGCUCUGCUCAUCUCCAGAGCUAGCACCAACAACCUGAGAAUAUCCCCUUAGUCUCUUUGCCCACUCCUAGCCUUAGCAGAGGUGAUGAAGGUAUCACUUAUCACAAGAGGCCUUGGCACCAUGUUUCUAACCUCCUUAUCACGUUUUCCUUGGGAUAUGUUACUAGCCCUUUGCAUCAGAGCCACAGUAUUCCUCAGCACUACAGCUGUGCUAAAGGAGCCUUCUCCCCAAGAUUCCCUGUGGCAGGUGAUAAGGAUAUUCAGUUUCUGGAAGUGAAGUGAGAUCUCUGCUGUCAAAACAGUGAAAGUGCAACUCCCUGUUCUAUGGAACACCAGGUUCCAAACAUGUCAGCACUUGAAACAUGGAUUAAGUGCAGAAAAUGCAAUGACAAUUUCCUGGCAUAGGUGAUUGGUGAGAUAACUAGAGGAGAUGCCCUGACUGGACUUAAUUACUCAUGAACAAUCUGACUGAGGGUGUAGAGGCUGAAGACAGCUUUGGCUGCAGCUUUGAGUUUGUAUAGUUUAAAAUCCUGAGAUAAACAAGAAAACUAAUAAAAUUGCCAGUCUUGACUUCCAAAGGGCAGAUUUCAGCUUGUUUGGAAAUCUGCUGGACAGGAUCACAUGAAAGGCAGUCAGCUGCCCUGGCACAACUAACUGAACUUCACCCUUCUCAAAACACAGAACUGGUUCCUUCCAAAUCAAGAAAGGUAAGCAAAGGUGCAAGGCUAGUAUGGAUGAACAGAACACUCUAGACUGACUGCAAAUAUGAAAUCUAGCCAAUGGCAGCAUAUGUGUGCUACCCAUCCACUUCACUGUGGUGAGUGGAGUGGUCCAUGAUGGACAGAAGAGGCAAAUAUUAUACCCAUCUUCAAGAAGGCUGAGAAAGGGGAUCCAGGGAACUACAAGCUAAGAACUCUAACCUCAGUCUCCUGGAAGAUUUUUUCCUCCUGGAAACCAUUUCUGAGCUCAUGAAUUGUAAGAAGGUGAUUAAAAAUAGGCAGCAUGAACUUACCAUGGGCAAAUUGCCACUGAUGAAUCUGAUUGAUUGAUCAUUCUGAGGUGGACUGGUUCCAUGGAUGAGGGAAGAGUAGUGCAGGUUGUUUACCUUGGCUUUAGCAGAGUUUUUCCCAAGGUCUUUGAUAGUAUCCUACCAGUCAAAAUAUGGACAGGAUAAGCAGAUUAUAAAGUGGAUGGAAAACUGGUUGAAAUUCCAGGCCAGACAGGUUGUGAUUGGCAGUAUAAAGUCUAUCCCACAACUGGCUGCUAAUGGCAGUCCUCCUCAGGAACAGAUUCUGGGGUAAAUGCAGUUUGGUGUCUUCACUGCUAAUGAUCUGAUCUAAUGGGAGAGAUUGUACUAUCAACAGAUUCAUGGAUCAUACCAGCCUUCAGGGAAGGAGUUGAUAUGCCAGAGGGCAGGGCUGUUGCUUAGAGGGACCGAGACAAGCUGGAGGAAUGUAUUUCCCGGAGUCUCACCAAGCUCAGCAAAGACAGGUAAGACGUCUUGCACAUGCUGGAGAUGAACUGAUUGAAGGGCAGCUUUGUAGAAGGGGACCUGUGGUACUGGUGGACACGAUGAGUACGAGUUGGCAGUUGGGGCAAACAAGGUCAGCCUCAUCCCACAUUGUAUUAGCAAACUGCAACCAGCAGGUCUAGGGAAGUAAUUGUUCUCUCUCACUGGUGCUUGUGAGACUGCUUCUGGAGUACUGUUUUUGCUGCCCAGUAAAAGAGACCGACACAUGGUUUUGAAUGCAGCAGAGUCACUAAGAUCACACAGGCUGAAGUACGUGUGUAUGAGCCAAGUGUGAUAGCGUGGAUAUAGGAAAGGGAUCCAAACUCUUUGAAAUGUAUGGUGACAGGGGAAGAGCUAAUGGACACAAGUUGCAAUACAGGAAAUUCUGCCUGUAAGGAAAAACAUUUUCAUUGUUAAUAUAAUCAAAUGCUGGAAUGGACUUCCAGUCAAUAUUGUGGAAUCUUGGACCUUGAAGAAAUUCAAAAGCUGACUGAGGAAGAUGCUUUGAAUGAGGAGUUGAACUAGCAGACUUACAGGGAUCACUUUCAACCUGUCCAUCAGAGGAGAGGAGCGAAGACCAGCAAAUGGCAAUAAUUUGCCACUGCAGUUCUGCUUGAACCCUUAUUGUCAGAGAGCUCUAGUGUCAAAGAUGAGGCAUCUACACAUUUCUACACUGAAAGAUGGCAGCUAAGUUUUCAUUUGAGAACUGCAAGUUUCAAUGAAGAACCCUAAGGCCUGAAUAUCUUUUUGAGUCUGGUUCUUAAUAGUCAACUUAAAAAAGAAUGGAUCUGUUUUCAAAGUGUGCAGGCUUUUCUCCUGAAGACAUGAAAGACAUAGGAGGGUGAUUGAUCAGGAUUGCUUUGAGGGAUGUUUUCUUUCCUGUUGUCCUAAGAUGAGGUUGGAGGUUAUAGGAAGUGGCAGAUAUUUUGGAAUGGCCCUAUUGUUUACAGGACUUUAAAUUGUUGUUUUCAUUCGUGAGUUAAUAGUGUUAAAAAUAAGUGAAUGCAUACUUGUAGCUAGUGUACAUGAUUGCAUUUGGCACGUUUUAGGAGUUAGAUGGUAGUUGUUUUCUAGCUGGUGCUAAUUUCCAUUUUCAGACACUCUGCUUAACUUCAGCAUUAGCAAAAUUAUAUGAGAAAGUGAUGUUGCUGCACUCUGUGUUGUGCAGGGCUGUAAAUGUAGGCAUGCAUUACAGGAAUAUUUGUGUAGAAUGAAAAGCUAAUAUACAUCAGUGUUUUGUUAAAAAGUAUGCACAUUCUGUACAUAGUGCUUGGGAAAAAAGUCAUUUUCUCUUCAUGGCUGAUCAAAUUCUAUAUAUUUUAUAAGAAAACUUUUUGUGUCACUAAAAAUAAAUAAAUAUUAUGCAU